rnacentral:tRNA from 1 species
UCUCUGGUGGUCCAGUAGUUAGGACUCACACUUAGAUUGUCAAGGGUGUGGGUUCAAUCCCUGCUUGAGGAA